rnacentral:rRNA from 1 species
GGUGAGUAACGCGUGGGUGACCUGCCCCAAAGUGUGGGAUAACAGUCCGAAAGGAUUGCUAAUACCUCAUGUGGUCUUCGGAUUUAGAAACUGAUGACUAAAGGAGUGAUCCGCUUUGGGAGGGACCUGCGUCCCAUCAGCUAGUUGGUGAGGUAAUGGCUCACCAAGGCGACGACGGGUAGGGGACCUGAGAGGGUGGCCCCCCACAAUGGAACUGAAACACGGUCCAUACACCUACGGGUGGCAGCAGUAGGGAAUAUUGCACAAUGGGCGAAAGCCUGAUGCAGCAACGCCGCGUGCGCGAUGAAGGCCUUCGGGUCGUAAAGCGCUUUUCUGAGAGACGAGACAGGACGGUAUCUCAGGAAUAAGUCUCGGCUAACUACGUGCCAGCAGCCGCGGUAAAACGUAGGAGGCGAGCGUUAUCCGGAUUCACUGGGCGUAAAAGCGCGUGCAGGCGGUUCGGUAAGUUGGGCGUGAAAUCUCUUGGCUUAACUAGGAGAGGUCGUUUCAAUACUACCGGACUUGAGAGUGGUAGAGGAAGAUGGAAUUCCCGGUGUAGUGGUGAAAUGCGUAGAUAUCGGGAGGAACACCAGUGGCGAAAGCGAUCUUCUGGACCAUUUCUGACGCUCAGACGCGAAAGCUAGGGUAGUAAACGGGAUUAGAGACCCCGGUAAUCCUAGCCGUAAACGAUGUUAACUUGGCGUCGGUGGCUUAAACUCCAUCGGUGCCGCAGCAAACGCGAUAAGUUAACCGCCUGGGGACUACGAUCGCAAGAUUAAAACUCAAAGGAAUUGACGGGGGCCCGCACAAGCAGCGGAGCGUGUGGUUUAAUUCGAUGCUACACGAAGAACCUUACCCGGGUUUGACAUGCAAGUGGUAGUGAUCUGAAAGGUGAACGACCCGCAAGGGAGCUUGCACAGGUGUUGCAUGGCUGUCGUCA